GAUGAACGCUGGCGGCGUGCCUAAUACAUGCAAGUCGAGCGAACAGACGAGGAGCUUGCUCCUCUGACGUUAGCGGCGGACGGGUGAGUAACACGUGGAUAACCUACCUAUAAGACUGGGAUAACUUCGGGAAACCGGAGCUAAUACCGGAUAAUAUAUUGAACCGCAUGGUUCAAUAGUGAAAGACGGUUUUGCUGUCACUUAUAGAUGGAUCCGCGCCGCAUUAGCUAGUUGGUAAGGUAACGGCUUACCAAGGCAACGAUGCGUAGCCGACCUGAGAGGGUGAUCGGCCACACUGGAACUGAGACAGGGUCCAGACUCCGACGGGAGGCAGCAGUAGGGAAUCUUACGCAAUGGGCGAAAGCCUGACGGAGCAACGCCGCGUGAGUGAUGAAGGUCUUCGGAUCGUAAAACUCUGUUAUUAGGGAAGAACAAAUGUGUAAGUAACUAUGCACGUCUUGACGGUACCUAAUCAGAAAGCCACGGCUAACUACGUG
rnacentral:rRNA from 1 species